rnacentral:tRNA from 2 species
GCCGAAGUGGCGGAAUUGGCAGACGCGCUAGAUUCAGGGUCUAGUGUGCAUUGCGCACGUGCAGGUUCGAGUCCUGUCUUCGGCACCA